rnacentral:rRNA from 1 species
CUUUCAACAACGGAUCUCUUGGUUCUGGCAUCGAUGAAGAACGCAGCGAAAUGCGAUAAGUAAUGCGAAUUGCAGAAUCCNUGAGUCAUCGAAUCUUUGAACGCACAUUGCGCCCUUUGGUAUUCCGAAGGGCAUGCCUGUUCGAGCGUCAUUAUCACCUCUCAAGNUCCGGCUUGGUGUUGGG